AUUGAACGCUGGCGGCAGGCCUAACACAUGCACGUCGAACGAGUGGCGGACGGGUGAGUAAUGUCCGGGAAACUGCCCGAUGGAGGGGGAUAACUCCUGGAAACGGUAGCUAAUACCGCAUACCCUCGGAUGUGCCCCUAUGGGAUUAGCUAGUAGGUGGGGGAACGGCGCACCUAGGCGACGAUCCCUAGCUGGUCUGAGAGGAUGACCAGCCACACGGGAACUGAGACACGGUCCAGACUCCUACGGGAGGCAGCAGGGGGGAAUAUUGCACAAGGGGCGCAAGCCGGAUGCAGCCAUGCCGAGUGUAUGAAGAAGGCCUUCGGGUGGUAAAGUACUUUCAGCGAGGAGGCGUUACUCGCAGAAGAAGCACCGGCUAACUCCGUGCCAGCAGCCGCGGUAAGUC
rnacentral:rRNA from 1 species